rnacentral:rRNA from 1 species
UACGUAGGGUGCAAGCGUUUGUCCGGAAUUAUUGGGCGUAAAGAGCUCGUAGGCGGUUUGUCGCGUCGAAUGUGAAAACCCGGGGCUCAACCCCGGGCCUGCAUUCGAUACGGGCAGACUAGAGUUCGGUAGGGGAGUCUGGAAUUCCUGGUGUAGCGGUGAAAUGCGUAGAUAUCUGGAGGAACAUCAGUGGCGAAGGCGACACCCUGGACUCAUACUGACACUGAGGUGCGAAAGCGUGGGGAGCAAACAGG